rnacentral:rRNA from 1 species
AAAACUUUACCAUGCGGGCAACCGUGAUAAGGAAACCCCGAGUGCCAGCACAGGCUGGCUGUCUGCCAGUUUAAAUAACUGGUGAAGAAAGGGCCGGGCAAGACCGGUGCCAGCCGCCGCGGUAAUACCGGCGGCUCGAGUGGUGGCCGCUAUUACUGGGCUUAAAGGGUCCGUAGCUUGAUAACUGGGUCCCUUGAGAAAUCCGCCAGCUUAACUGGCGGGCGUUCAGGGGAAACUUGUUUUCUAGGGACCGGGAGAGGUGAGGGGUACUGCCGGGGUAGGAGUGAAAUCCUGUAAUCCCGGUGGGACCACCUAUGGCGAAGGCAUCUCACCAGAACGGGUCCGACAGUGAGGGACGAAAGCUGGGGGAGCAAACCGGAUUAGAUACCCGGGUAGUCCCAGCUGUAAACUAUGUGCGUUAGGUGUGUCAGUGACCACGUGUCACUGAGGUGCCGAAGGGAAACCGUGAAACGCACCGCCUGGGGAGUACGGUCGCAAGGCUGAAACUUAAAGGAAUUGGCGGGGGAGCACCACAACGGGUGGAGCCUGCGGUUUAAUCGGACUCAACGCCGGGAAUCUCACCGGAUAAGACAGCUGAAUGAUAGUCGGGAUGAAGACUCUACUUGACUAGCUGAGAGGAGGUGCAUGGCCGUCGUCAGUUCGUACUGUGAAGCAUCCUGUUUAGUCAGGCAACGAGCGAGACCCACGCGAGCAGUUGCCAGCUUGACCUUUGGGUUGAUGGGGACACUGCUCGGACCGCCUCUGCUAAAGGGGAGGAAGGACUGGGCAACGGUAGGUCAGCAUGCCCCGAAUUAUCCGGGCUACACGCGGGCUACAAUGGACAGGACAAUGGGUUUCGACACCGAGAGGUGAGGAUAAUCUCCUAAACCUGUCCCAAGUUCGGAUUGCGGGUUGUAACUCACCCGCAUGAAGCUGGAAUCCGUAGUAAUCGCGUUUCAACAUACCGCGGUGAAUAUGUCCCUGCUCC